GACGAACGCUGGCGGGCGUGCUUAACACAUGCAAGUCGAGCGGUAAGGCCCUUUCGGGGUACGACGAGCGGCGAACGGGUGAGUAACACGUGGGUGACCUGCCCUCCAGCUCUGGGAGUAAGCCUGGGAAACCGGGGUACUAAUACCGGAUAUGACUCCAUGACGCAUGUUGUGGGGUGGAAAGACCUUGUGCGGCUGAGGAUGGGCCCGCGGCCUAUCAGCUUGUUGGUGGGGUGAUGGCCUACCAAGGCGACGA
rnacentral:rRNA from 1 species